UUUUGGGUGGAUUACAGUACAUAGUGUGAAAAGUACUGGAAGUGCAGCUGUAGUGUCAGUGGUUGGGGGUGUUAGCUGACAGGGUAAUAACAUGGAUUUCCUGCUUCUCCCUCAUUCUUCUCUCUCCCCAGCUGAAUGUUAACUAUACAGAGAAGAUGAUUUCCAUCAGCAACUAUCCCCUCUCUGCUGCCCUGACCUGUGCCAAGAUCACCACAGCCUUUGAGGAGGCAUGGGAGUGGGGCGAGGGGGUGUGAUGUGAGCCCUCUAUAACUGGCCCUGCGGAGUAGGACUCUGAUCUUUCUAGAAUUGGCAGCUAUUUUUCUACUCGUGUGUAAGGAGCACUGAGAGCCAACCUUGGCUGAAGGCUUAGUGGUAGAGUUCAAGGCAUACCGUGCUGAGGUUUCCUUUCAUACAGGCUGCUCCCACGGUGAGAGGUCAAUGGGCACCCCUCUGGGGCUGUUCUUUCUCCUUGUUUUAAAAUUACUUUUGAUAAA